AGAGUUUGAUCCUGGCUCAGGACGAACGCUGGCGGCGUGCAUAAAACAUGCAAGUCGAACGGAUCUCAGCCGCAAGGCUGAGGUUAGUGGCGAACGGCUGAGUAACACGUAGGUGACCUGCCCCGAAGUGGGGGACAACUCUCCGAAAGGAGAGCUAAUACCGCAUGUGAUCGGUGGUUCAUUCCGUCGAUCAAAGUCGUAAGACGCUUUGGGAGGGGCCUGCGGCGGAUCAGCUAGUUGGUGGGGUAAUGGCUCACCAAGGCAACGAUCCGUAGCUGGUCUGAGAGGAUGGCCAGCCAGACUGGGACUGAGACACGGCCCAGACUCCUACGGGAGGCAGCAGUUAGGGAUCUUGUGCAAUGGGGGAAACCCUGACACAGCAACGCCGCGUGAGGGAUGAAGGCCUUCGGGUCGUAAACCUCUUUUCUGAGGGAAGAAACCUGACGGUACCUCAGGAAUAAGCAACGGCUAACUACGUGCCAGCAGCCGCGGUAAUACGUAGGUUGCGAGCGUUGUCCGGAUUUACUGGGCGUAAAGCGCACGCAGGCGGCUCCGAAAGCCCACGGUGAAAGCCCUCGGCCCAACCGAGGGAGGCCCGUGGGAACUUCGGGGCUUGAAGGCGGGAGAGGCAGAUGGAAUUUCCGGUGUAGCGGUAAAAUGCGUAGAUACCGGAAGGAACACCAGUGGCGAAAGCGAUCUGCUGGCCCGCUCUUGACGCUCAGGUGCGAAAGCUAGGGUAGCGACCGGGAUUAGAUACCCCGUUAGUCCUAGCCGUAAACGAUGGGCACUAGGUGUUGUCGGUAUCGACCCCGGCAGUGCCGUAGCUAACGCAUUAAGUGCCCCGCCUGGGA
rnacentral:rRNA from 1 species